rnacentral:rRNA from 1 species
GACGAACGCUGGCGGCGUGCUUAACACAUGCAAGUCGAACGGAAAGGCCCUGCUUUUGUGGGGUGCUCGAGUGGCGAACGGGUGAGUAACACGUGAGUAACCUGCCCUUGACUUUGGGAUAACUUCAGGAAACUGGGGCUAAUACCGGAUAGGAGCUCCUGCUGCAUGGUGGGGGUUGGAAAGUUUCGGCGGUUGGGGAUGGACUCGCGGCUUAUCAGCUUGUUGGUGGGGUAGUGGCUUACCAAGGCUUUGACGGGUAGCCGGCCUGAGAGGGUGACCGGCCACGUUGGGACUGAGAUACGGCCCAGACUCCUACGGGAGGCAGCAGUGGGGAAUAUUGCACAAUGGGCGGAAGCCUGAUGCAGCAACGCCGCGUGCGGGAUGACGGCCUUCGGGUUGUAAACCGCUUUCGCCUGUGACGAAGCGUGAGUGACGGUAAUGGGUAAAGAAGCACCGGCUAACUACGUGCCAGCAGCCGCGGUGAUACGUAGGGUGCGAGCGUUGUCCGGAUUUAUUGGGCGUAAAGGGCUCGUAGGUGGUUGAUCGCGUCGGAAGUGUAAUCUUGGGGCUUAACCCUGAGCGUGCUUUCGAUACGGGUUGACUUGAGGAAGGUAGGGGAGAAUGGAAUUCCUGGUGGAGCGGUGGAAUGCGCAGAUAUCAGGAGGAACACCAGUGGCGAAGGCGGUUCUCUGGGCCUUUCCUGACGCUGAGGAGCGAAAGCGUGGGGAGCGAACAGGCUUAGAUACCCUGGUAGUCCACGCUGUAAACGGUGGGUACUAGGUGUGGGGUCCAUUCCACGGGUUCCGUGCCGUAGCUAACGCUUUAAGUACCCCGCCUGGGGAGUACGGCCGCAAGGCUAAAACUCAAAGGAAUUGACGGGGCCCCGCACAAGCGGCGGAGCAUGCGGAUUAAUUCGAUGCAACGCGUAGAACCUUACCUGGGUUUGACAUGGAUCGGGAGUGCUCAGAGAUGGGUGUGCCUCUUUUGGGGUCGGUUCACAGGUGGUGCAUGCCUGUCGUCAGCUCGUGUCGUGAGAUGUUGGGUUAAGUCCCGCAACGAGCGCAACCCUUGUUCACUGUUGCCAGCACGUUAUGGUGGGGACUCAGUGGAGACCGCCGGGGUCAACUCGGAGGAAGGUGGGGAUGACGUCAAGUCAUCAUGCCCCUUAUGUCCAGGGCUUCACGCAUGCUACAAUGGCUGGUACAGAGAGUGGCGAGCCUGUGAGGGUGAGCGAAUCUCGGAAAGCCGGUCUCAGUUCGGAUUGGGGUCUGCAACUCGACCUCAUGAAGUCGGAGUCGCUAGUAAUCGCAGAUCAGCAACGCUGCGGUGAAUACGUUCCCGGG